rnacentral:lncRNA from 10 species
CCCACACCCAGCCACUCGUCAUUGUCCUCGUCUGUGGCCCUGCAUGUCCCUCUCCGGUGCACCACCAGUUUUCUUGUCCACUGUGCAACUGCUCUCCAGAGUGGAUGUCUCAGCCACAUAGCCAUCCUGAGCAGGCUUGUACUCGGGGGCUGUUUAUGGGUUAAUAGAAUGAACGGCUCUUCUUGCCAGCUGGCCUCCUGCGGUCCGGACUCUGCCCCACAGUUCUUGGAUCUCUAAGAGGGUGACCUAUCUGGAGCUUCCCCUAACCAAGACCCAGAGUGACUCUCAUGGACGGCUGUGGGCAGGCGACUUCAGUUUCUGUGUGGUCAGAUGGAAUUUGCCUAAAAGCUAUCCCACCCUGAUUAUUCUUCCCAAUGUCUGACACCUUGAAGUGGCACAUGGCUUAAGGUGUGCACCCAGGUGGGUGCUGUGAGAGAAUUCUGUCCAGGAAAGAGAAUGCUCUGGUCCAUAAUCAACCUAUAGAAAACCAUGAUGCCUUUAUCAAGAAGGUGGUUACCCCCAUGGAAGCAAAAUCAGUCUCCUAAAAGAACUCCAAAAACAAGAAAUUCAUCUGGAAGAAUCAACCGCUUUUACUAUUCUGACCAUUAUUGUGAACCAUGACACAUGCUUUCAACGGAACUCGCCCAUCUCACAAACAUGAUUUCGCUCCUAGACUGUUCUUCAGGUUUCCAUCUACAGCCAUCUGUGACUGGCCCUUAUCUGGAAGGCGAGAGCUGACCUACUUCACCCAGAAAGUGGCUGUGGCUUCAGACCAGGACCGGGGUCAGGUGUGUGAGAUGCUCACCUCGGGUGCAAAAUGUAAAGGGGCAAAAAGUCAUCCAGAUAAAUGAUAUUUUGAUGCAAUAUUUUUAAAAAUUAAAUGAAUUUUUUAAAAAGCAUCACAAAUAAAAUAUUACUAUUUUAAAUACAGACAGUCUCUGACUGCGUCAUGCCCAACCACAUUGGAGCCUGAGGCAAAAGGAGUAAUGGUCUCCCCUGUAUUCAUGUUUGCAUGGAUUUGUAAACAGCUAAUAAUGUUUUUUUUUAGAUGGAGUCUCACUCUGUUGCCCAGGUUGGAGUACAAUGGCACAAUAUCGACUCACUGCAACCUCUAUCAUCUGGGUUCAAGUGAUUCUCCUGCCUCAGCCUCCCAAGUAGCUGGGAUUACAGGUGCCUGCCACCAUGCCUGGCUAAUUUUCUUUUUUUUGUAUUUUUUGUAGAGAUAGAGUUUCACCAUGUUGGCCAGGCUGGUCUUGAACUCCUGACCUCAAAUGAUCCACCCGCCUUGGCCUCCGAAAGUGCUGGGAUUACAAGUGUGAGCCACUGCGCCCGGCCAUGAAUGGCUAAUAAUUUUAAGAAAAUAUUGUUGUGAAGGAUUUGCUUCCGUCAAAGCCAGGAAGGUAAAAUGGUAAUUCUAUUUUGGGUGUAAGCAAAAUGUUUACAUGGAAAACAAUACUGGGAGUUUUAAUAAACUUGCUUUUCAAAUUUUCAGUAUUUUUUCACUACUUCAACAUGCUACAGAAGUUUUUAAAAUCGUGGAAGAAAUACAUAAAAUACCUGUAGAUGAGAUGAAGUUUUUCGCUUUGCCUGACCCACAGGGCAGGGUGCUGGGCUCAGCUUCCCAGCCCAGACCUUCCCGUGCGUGACCCGUUCGGGACGUGUCAGCCAGUCAAUGGCUCUCCUCACUUUUUUAU